CAGAACGUCGUGAGACAGUUCGGUCUCUAUCCGCCGCGCGCGUUGAAACUUGAAGAAAGCUGUCCCUAGUACGAGAGGACCGGGACGGACGUACCUCUAGUGUGCCAGUUAUCCCGCCAGGGGUAUCGCUGGUUGGCUACGUACGGAAGGGAUAACCGCUGAAAGCAUCUAAGCGGGAAGCCUGUUUUAAGAUGAGGUUUCGUUAAGGUCCCCUAAAGACGAUAGGGUAGAUAGGCCAGACCUGGACGCACUGCAAGGUGUGAAGGCUACUGGUACUAAUUGACCACAACAAACACCAA
rnacentral:rRNA from 1 species